rnacentral:rRNA from 1 species
UUUAAUGGCUGCAGUAAUUUGACUGUACAAAGGUAGCAUAAUCAUUAGUUUUUUAAUUAAAAGCUUGUAUGAAAGGUUGGACGAAAUAAAAUCUGUCUCUUUUUAAUAAAAUUAGAAUUUAAUUUUUAAGUUAAAAAGCUUAAAUUUUUAUAAAAGACGAGAAGACCCUAUAGAGUUUAAUAAUUUAAAUUUAAUAAUUAAUUUAGAUUUAUUAAUUUUAUUUUAUUUAAAUUAUUUUAUUGGGGUAAUGGAAAGAUUUAAAAAAUUCUUUUUUAAUUAAAUCAUUAAUAUAUGAAAUUUAUGAUCCAAAAAUUUUGAAUAUAAG